UACGAAGGGGGCUAGCGUUGCUCGGAAUCACUGGGCGUAAAGGGUGCGUAGGCGGGUCUUUAAGUCGGAGGUGAAAUCCUGGAGCUCAACUCCAGAACUGCCUUCGAUACUGAGAGUCUUCGAGUUCGGGAGAGGUGAGUGGAACUGCGAGUGUAGAGGUGAAAUUCGUAGAUAUUCGCAAGAACACCAGUGGCGAAGGCGGCUCACUGGCCCGAUACUGACGCUGAGGUGCGAAAGCGUGGGGAGCAAACAGGG
rnacentral:rRNA from 1 species